ensembl:lncRNA
UGUGGAGAGAAAAACCCUCUGACACACCAUUUCCAGAGAGCAGCAGAACGCCGGGCCGGCAGCACCCGCACCAUCUUCGGAGUGACCUCCUGCCUCAGGCCCAGAGUUACUCGUGCUUCGGGCCUUGGAGCUGCAGAACCGCCUGUGCGUGGGACCAACCUGCACCGCGCCUAACGGCAUUCGCUCCCCGCUCUUGGAACCUGAACUGCACAGAAUGUAGCACUCUCCAAGUCAAGACCCUCGUGCAUGAUGACAUCCGAAGACAGCCAUACUGUCCACAGACAGCUGCACUUGCACCCCAGCACACAGCGGCUGUAAAGGUGGGAGGUAUCAGAGGGAGAUGAGAGCAAAACUUUGCACUAAUGAAAGUACCACACCAACGUUAAUAC